rnacentral:lncRNA from 1 species
AGUUGAAACUCGAUUUAACGAAGUGAUGACCACGCUUGCAUUAUUUCGUUGAAUCAGGAAGUUCGUAAAAUCGAGAAAGAUUUUUCGGUCCUUCGAAAUCUAAAAUUGCAACGUAGUGACACCCAAAAGCUACCACGGCAUUGUAUUUCCACUAAUCUAUCCAUGUG